UACGUAGGGACCAAGCGUUGUUCGGAUUUACUGGGCGUAAAGGGCGCGUAGGCGGCUUGGUAAGUCACUUGUGAAAUCUCUGAGCUUAACUCAGAACGGCCAAGUGAUACUGCAGUGCUAGAGUGUGGAAGGGGCAAUCGGAAUUCUUGGUGUAGCGGUGAAAUGCGUAGAUAUCAAGAGGAACACCUGAGGUGAAGACGGGUUGCUGGGCCAACACUGACGCUGAGGCGCGAAAGCCAGGGGAGCAAACGGG
rnacentral:rRNA from 1 species